rnacentral:misc_RNA from 1 species
GAAAUGCGAUAAGUAAUGUGAAUUGCAGAAUUCAGUGAAUCAUCGAAUCUUUGAACGCAGCUUGCGCUCAUUGGUAUUCCUUGGAGCAUGCCUGUUUGAGUAUCAUGAAAUCUUCAAAGUAAAUCUUUUGUUAACUCAAUUGGUUUCUACUUUGGUAUUGGAGGUCUUUGCAGCUUCACACCUGCUCCUCUUUGUUCAUUAGCUGGAUCUCAGUGUUAUGCUUGGUUCCACUCGGCGUGAUAAGUUAUCUAUCGCUGAGGACACUGUAAAAGGUGGCCAAGGUAAAUGCAGAUGAACCGCUUCUAAUAGUCCAUUGACUUGGACAAUACUUUUAUGAUCUGAUCUCAAAUCAGGUAGGACUACCCGCUGAACUUAAGC